GGGGGCGAAACGGGUUCGACGGGGACAAUGAAGUUUAAGCGGCAUGCCGAGGUUCCUGCCUGCUCGUUAAACAGGUGGGGUUAAAUGCAAACGCAGACGACUAUGCGUAUGCCGUAGCCGCAUAAAGCGGCUACCGUCCUGCCGGUCCGGGUCCGCGGGGCCGGCAAAGGGCGUCGACUAGCGGAACCGCCCGCUGCACCUGCCUGCAGGCAGCGGGUGGAAUCCUGCCCGAGGGGAGUCCCGGAGAGCGAGAACUCAAUACCCGGGCUAAGCAUGUAGAAGCUUAAACGGAAGGUUCUCGGACGCGGGUUCGACUCCCGCCGCCUCCACCA
rnacentral:tmRNA from 1 species